CCUACGGGUGGCAGCAGUGAGGAAUAUUGGUCAAUGGGCGUAAGCCUGAACCAGCCAAGUCGCGUGAGGGAUGAAGGUUCUAUGGAUCGUAAACCUCUUUUAUAAGGGAAUAAAGUGUGGGACGUGUCCUUUUUUGUAUGUACCAUAUGAAUAAGGAUCGGCUAACUCCGUGCCAGCAGCCGCGGUAAUACGGAGGAUCCGAGCGUUAUCCGGAUUUAUUGGGUUUAAAGGGAGCGUAGGUGGAUUGUUAAGUCAGUUGUGAAAGUUUGCGGCUCAACCGUAAAAUUGCAGUUGAAACUGGCAGUCUUGAGUACAGUAGAGGUGGGCGGAAUUCGUGGUGUAGCGGUGAAAUGCAUAGAUAUCACGCAGAACUCCGAUUGCGAAGGCAGCAUACCGGCGCUCAACUGACGCUGAGGCACGAAAGCGUGGGGAUCGAACAGGAUUAGAUACCCGAGUAGUC
rnacentral:rRNA from 1 species